rnacentral:rRNA from 1 species
UUACACAUGCAAAAAUCCGUAAACCAGUGUCAAAUCCCCUAAAGCUUUAUUCAAAACCUAGGGAGAGGGCAUCAAGUACAUAUUAGUAUAGCUAAAGACGUCUUGCCUAGCCACGCCCCCACGGACUCAGCAGUGAUAAAAAUUAAGCAAUGAACGAAAGUUUGACUAAGUUAUACCUCUCAAGGGUUGGUAAAUUUCGUGCCAGCCACCGCGGUCAUACGAUUAACCCAAAUUAAUUAUUAUACGGCGUAAAACGUGUCCAUAGGAAACAACCAAUAGAAUUAAAAACCAACCAAUAUGUGAAAAUUCAUCGUUGGGACUAAAAUCAAUAACGAAAGUAAUUCUAAUUAACUUAAUACACGAUAGCUAAGAUCCAAACUGGGAUUAGAUACCCCACUAUGCUUAGCCCUAAACCUUAAAGAUUAAAUAACAAAAUCAUUUGCCUGAGAACUACUGGCCAUCGCUUAAAACUCAAAGGACUUGGCGGUACUUUAUAUCCGUCUAGAGGAGCCUGUUCUAUAAUCGAUAAACCCCGUUAUACCUCACCACCCCUUGCUAAUUCAGCCUAUAUACCGCCAUCUUCAGCAAACCUUAAAAAGGAAUAAAAGUAAGCAAGAGAAUCACCAUAAAAACGUUAGGUCAAGGUGUAGCUUAUGAGGUGGGAAGCAAUGGGCUACAUUUUCUUAAAAAGAACAUUACGAUACCCUUAUUGAAACAUAAGGACAAAGGAGGAUUUAGUAGUAAAUUAAGAA